UUGGAGGGCAAGUCUGGUGCCAGCAGCCGCGGUAAUUCCAGCUCCAAUAGCGUAUAUUAAAGUUGUUGCAGUUAAAAAGCUCGUAGUUGAAUUUCGGGAUCAGAGUGUCGGUCGUGCCUCGGUACGUACUGGUAUUAUUGGUUCCUACCUUCUGAAGAACCGCGAUGUCAUUAAUUUGGUGUCGUGGGGAAUCAGGACUGUUACUUUGAAAAAAUUAGAGUGUUUAAAGCAGGCUUACGCUUGAAUACAUUAGCAUGGAACAAUGAAAUAGGACGUUUGAUUCUAUUUUGUUGGUUUCUAGGAUUGACGUAAUGAUUAAUAGGGAUAGUUGGGGGCAUUAGUAUUCAAUUGUCAGAGGUGAAAUUCUUGGAUUUAUUGAAGACUAACUACUGCGAAAGCAUUUGCCAAGGAUGUUUUCAUUAAUCAAGAACGAAAGUUGGGGGAUCGAAGACGAUCAGAUACCGUCGUAGUCUUAACCAUAAACUAUGCCGACUAGGGAUCGGAUGAUGUUAAUUUUUUAAUGACUCAUUCGGCGCCUUACGGGAAAC
rnacentral:rRNA from 1 species